ACAUGCAGUCGAACGAUGAUGCCCAGCUUGCUGGGUGGAUUAGUGGCGAACGGGUGAGUAACACGUGAGUAACCUGCCCCUGACUCUGGGAUAAGCGUUGGAAACGACGUCUAAUACUGGAUAUGACUGCCGGCCGCAUGGUCUGGUGGUGGAAAGAUUUUUUGGUUGGGGAUGGACUCGCGGCCUAUCAGCUUGUUGGUGAGGUAAUGGCUCACCAAGGCGACGACGGGUAGCCGGCCUGAGAGGGUGACCGGCCACACUGGGACUGAGACACGGCCCAGACUCCUACGGGAGGCAGCAGUGGGGAAUAUUGCACAAUGGGCGAAAGCCUGAUGCAGCAACGCCGCGUGAGGGAUGACGGCCUUCGGGUUGUAAACCUCUUUUAGUAGGGAAGAAGCGUAAGUGACGGUACCUGCAGAAAAAGCACCGGGCUAACUACGUGCCAGCAGCCGCGGUAAUACGUAGGGUGCAAGCGUUGUCCGGAAUUAUUGGGCGUAAAGAGCUCGUAGGCGGUUUGUCGCGUCUGCUGUGAAAUCCCGAGGCUCAACCUCGGGCUUGCAGUGGGUACGGGCAGACUAGAGUGCGGUAGGGGAGAUUGGAAUUCCUGGUGUAGCGGUGGAAUGCGCAGAUAUCAGGAGGAACACCGAUGGCGAAGGCAGAUCUCUGGGCCGUAACUGACGCUGAGGAGCGAAAGCGUGGGGAGCGAACAGGAUUAGAUACCCUGGUAGUCCACGCCGUAAACGUUGGGCGCUAGAUGUAGGGACCUUUCCACGGUUUCUGUGUCGUAGCUAACGCAUUAAGCGCCCCGCCUGGGGAGUACGGCCGCAAGGCUAAAACUCAAAGGAAUUGACGGGGGCCCGCACAAGCGGCGGAGCAUGCGGAUUAAUUCGAUGCAACGCGAAGAACCUUACCAAGGGCUUGACAUACACCGGAAACGGCCAGAGAUGGUUGCCCCCUUGUGGUCGGUGUACAGGUGGUGCAUGGUUGUCGUCAGCUCGUGUCGUGAGAUGUUGGGUUAAGUCCCGCAACGAGCGCAACCCUCGUUCUAUGUUGCCAGCGCGUUAUGGCGGGGACUCAUAGGAGACUGCCGGGGUCAACUCGGAGGAAGGUGGGGAUGACGUCAAAUCAUCAUGCCCCUUAUGUCUUGGGCUUCACGCAUGCUACAAUGGCCGGUACAAAGGGCUGCGAUACCGUAAGGUGGAGCGAAUCCCAAAAAGCCGGUCUCAGUUCGGAUUGAGGUCUGCAACUCGACCUCAUGAAGUCGGAGUCGCUAGUAAUCGCAGAUCAGCAACGCUGCGGUGAAUACGUUCCCGGGCCUUGUACACACCGCCCGUCAAGUCAUGAAAGUCGGUAACACCCGAAGCCGGUGGCCUAACCCUUGUGGAAGGAGC
rnacentral:rRNA from 2 species